rnacentral:rRNA from 1 species
GACGAACCGUGCGAACGUUAUUCGGAAUCACUGGGCUUAAAGCGCGUGUAGGCGGGAGGGCACGUCCGUCGCUGAAAUCCCCCGGCUCAACCGGGGAACGGGCGCGGAUACGACCUUCCUGGAGGGGCGUAGGGGGACCUGGAACUUCCGGUGGAGCGGUGAAAUGCGUUGAGAUCGGAAGGAACGCCCGUGGCGAAAGCGAGGUCCUGGACGCCUACUGACGCUGAGACGCGAAAGCCAGGGGAGCGAACGGGG